GCCUACGGGAGCGCAGCAGUGAGGAAUAUUGGACAAUGGGCGCAUAGCCUGAUCCAGCCAUGCUCGCGUGCAGGAUGACGGUGCCUAUGGAUUGUAAACUGCUUUUAUAGCGAGAAGAAACACUUCCUUCGUGAAGGAGCUUGACCGGUAUCGUAAGAAUAAGGAUCGGC
rnacentral:rRNA from 1 species